rnacentral:rRNA from 1 species
AUUGAACGCUGGCGGCAGGCCUAACACAUGCAAGUCGAACGGUAACAGGAAGAAGCUUGCUUCUUUGCUGACGAGUGGCGGACGGGUGAGUAAUGUCUGGGAAACUGCCUGAUGGAGGGGGAUAACUACUGGAAACGGUAGCUAAUACCGCAUAACGUCGCAAGACCAAAGAGGGGGACCUUCGGGCCUCUUGCCAUCGGAUGUGCCCAGACGGGAUUAGCUAGUAGGUGGGGUAACGGCUCACCUAGGCGACGAUCCCUAGCUGGUCUGAGAGGAUGACCAGCCACACUGGAACUGAGACACGGUCCAGACUCCUACGGGAGGCAGCAGUGGGGAAUAUUGCACAAUGGGCGCAAGCCUGAUGCAGCCAUGCCGCGUGUAUGAAGAAGGCCUUCGGGUUGUAAAGUACUUUCAGCGGGGAGGAAGGGAGUAAAGUUAAUACCUUUACUCAUUGACGUUACCCGCAGAAGAAGCACCGGCUAACUCCGUGCCAGCCGCCGCCGUAAGAC